AUUGAACGCUGGCGGCAGGCUUAACACAUGCAAGUCGAGCGGGGAAGGUAGCUUGCUACCGGACCUAGCGGCGGACGGGUGAGUAAUGCUUAGGAAUCUGCCUAUUAGUGGGGGACAACAUCUCGAAAGGGAUGCUAAUACCGCAUACGUCCUACGGGAGAAAGCAGGGGAUCUUCGGACCUUGCGCUAAUAGAUGAGCCUAAGUCGGAUUAGCUAGUUGGUGGGGUAAAGGCCUACCAAGGCGACGAUCUGUAGCGGGUCUGAGAGGAUGAUCCGCCACACUGGGACUGAGACACGGCCCAGACUCCUACGGGAGGCAGCAGUGGGGAAUAUUGGACAAUGGGGGGAACCCUGAUCCAGCCAUGCCGCGUGUGUGAAGAAGGCCUUAUGGUUGUAAAGCACUUUAAGCGAGGAGGAGGCUACUUUAGUUAAUACCUAGAGAUAGUGGACGUUACUCGCAGAAUAAGCACCGGCUAACUCUGUG
rnacentral:rRNA from 1 species